AUUCGACGAAUCACACAACCUCUGUGGGACUCACUGCCCUCCCUCGUGUACAAUGGAGAUGACAGUUGCCCUAUGUGUCUCUCUUUGGCCGUGGCUGUGUUGUGGAGCCAUUGGGUUAAUAUUUGUGAAAGUGCUUUGUAACUGUAAAGCCUCCACAACCGAGAGAUUAUUUUUAUUACGAUUGCAAUGCUCUGGAACCCCUUUGUCUUGCCUCCUUUUCUAGCUUUGCCAUCUUGUUGUUCAGCCCGUUCCCUGAGGGCUUGGUGUCUAAUUUCUCUAAAGGCAAGGUGAUAUUUCCUCACUUACUUCAGAGUCCAAGGGUCGGACCAAUGAGCUUUAAGUGUCCAGAGAGCUUCCUUUGAAAGGAAGCAGGGGAGAAGUGCUUAUCUUGGACACCGUCCUGAAAUAGCUGGUGAUGAAAAGUUUACACAGCUGGCAGAGGGGCAGUCCCUGCUCAGUCCAAAUAGAGCCUCACCGGGAGAUGGACAGCUGCAUUUUGAGGCCCACCUAUUCCCUGUGGUGUCUUCUGGCCCUGUUUGUUAGACUCUGGCUUUGGUAGGGGUGUCUCAGGCCCAAAAAACCUGAGAGGAGAGAAUCCAUUUGGCCAAAGGGUUUAAUCUGUGCAAGACAAAAGAGACCUUGACUGGUUAUAAUGUAAGGGAGACAUGGCUUCGUUAAAUUACUAAUGUUUUGUGAAGACUUAAAAUGUACUGGAGCCCUUUUGGUGCAGUGGUUAAGCCGUUGGCUGCCAACCAGAAUGUCAUCUGAUGGAACCCACCAGCUGCUCCAUGGGAGAAAGAUGUGGCAGUCUGCUUCUGUAAAGAUUACAGCCUUGGAAACCCUAUGGGGUAGUUCUGCCCUGUCCUGUAGGAUCGCUAUGCGUCAGAAUCAACUCUACGGCAGCGGAUUUGUUUUGUUUUUGGUUUGUGAAAAGCACCUAGCAUAGUUCCUGACACAGAGUAAGUGUUCAGCAAAUGGUGCUCAUGUUGGUGUUGGGGAUGCUGAAACUGAGGAACAGGGAGUGAUGACAUUAGCCCCGAUUGAAGAAGCAGCUACGUUAUCAGAAAGGUAUGAAUCAGAUGCAUGUAUACCUGUCACGUCGAAGACUACUGUUAGAUCUGCUGCAGACAUCAUACUCUUCCCUAUCUGCCUUUCUUUGCUCUUAUAUUCUUUACUGUCUAGAAAUGCUUUCCUUCGUCUCCUCUCCCUCUCUAAAUCUUCCUCACCUUUCAAGGCCCAGCAAAAGUGCCACCUUUUCCAAGUAGCCUUCCUUGACUACUCUCAUUGUCUUUCAUCUUGAAAUUCCAGUUGAACUCACAGUUCAUGGUUUAGGUCAGUGACUUGUGUAACUGAGUCUCCCCAGGAGCAGAAUCAGUAAUGGGUAAAAGCUCAGGUUGGGGAGUUAGACCUGGGUUUGCCACUUAUUAUCAGUGUAACUUGGGAAAGUUAUUCAGUGUCCCAAUGCCUUAGUUUCCUCAUUUGUAAAAUAGGGUCUUACUACUAGUACCUACUCAGAGAGUCCGUUGAGAGAUUUAAAUGAGGUAUUGUGUGUAAAGAGCUUAGUACAGUGGUGGCACAGAGUAAGAGCUAUUACCCAUUGCCCUCAAGUUGAUUCCAGCCUGUUGUGACCCUAGAGGACAGGGUAGAACUGCCCCAUAGGGUUUCAAGGAGCCCCUGGUAGAUUUGAACUGCCGACCUUUUGGUUAGCAGCUGAGCUCUUAACCGCUGCACCGCCAGGGCUCCAAUAAGUAAUAGAUAUUAGUGGUUAUUAUUGUGAUAUUAGCAUCAUAAGAGCAAAUUCUGUGUUACGGUCUCUGUAGCAGUUACUCCUGUGCUGGGCACGUAAUAGGUGCGGAAUAAACACUUGUUGAAGGAUUUUGAGGACUACAGAAGCUCUCGUGUCCACAACCACCCCCCAAAAGAAAGAAAAAAGUAGCCCCUACAGCCAGAAUGCUCCUUGGAAGCAAGGAUGAUGAGACUACGUCUCACAUACUUUGGACAUGUUAUCAGGAGGGAUCAGUCCCUGGAGAAGGAGAUCAUGCUUGGUAAAGUAGAAGGUCAGCGAAAAAAAGUAAGACCCUCAAUGAGAUGGAUUGACACGGUGGUGACAACAGUGGGCUCAAGCAUAGCAACAAUUGUAAGGAUGGCACCGGCCGGGGCAGUGUUUCCUUCUGUUGUGCAUAGGAUAGCUAUGAGUCAGUACCCACUUGAUGGCACCUAACAACAACAAACCUUGGCAAAGUCAGUGUAGCACAGUAGGUAAUGUACAAGGUGAUUUUAUAAAAGAGGGACUGGUGAGGAGGUUAAGGCGACAGAGGGGGUGGCAGAUGGCUCAUGUAAGCAACAGGAAGCUAAGAGGAAACCAGCAAGAUGCUGUUCUGUGUUCCACCCUCCAGCCAUCAAGUUGAGCACUGCUCAAGUUGUCAUUUGAUUCAGCUGGUGAUGAAAUGGGAGUCAACCAGUCCAUGGGCUUUCCACCUGUAACAGGACCCCACCUUGUAGGCUGCGGGGAUGUGAUGGAGGGUCAGAGUCUCCAGGGGAGCUUCUUUCGACUCUUCUACCCCUGCCAAGAGGCAGUGGAGACCACGGAGCAGCCCCUGUGGAUUCCCCGCUAUGAGUACUGCACUGGCCUGGCUGAUUACCUGCAGUUUAAUAAGCGCUGGGGGGGGUUGCUGUUUAACCUGGCUAUGGGAUCUUGUCGUCUGCCUGUCAGCUGGAAUGGCCCCUUUAAAACAAAGGACUCUGGAUAUCCCUUGAUCAUCUUCUCCCAUGGCCUGGGAGGCUUCAGGACAUUGUAUUCGGCUUUCUGCAUGGAACUGGCCUCCCGUGGCUUUGUGGUUGCUGUGGCAGAGCACAGGGACCAGUCAGCUGCGACCACCUAUUUCUGUAAGAAGGCUCCAGAGGAGAACCAGACCAUCAGUGAGUCACUGGAGGAAGAAUGGAUCCCAUACCGUCAAGUUGGGGAAGGGGAGAAGGAAUUCCAUGUUCGGAAUCCUCAGGUGCAUCAGAGGGUGAGUGAAUGUAUACGGGUAUUGAGGAUCCUGCAAGACGUCACUGCUGGGCGAACUGUCCUCAACAUCUUGCCUGGUGGAUUGGAUCUGGUACCCUUCGAGGGCAGCAUUGACAUGAGCCGUGUGGCUGUGAUGGGACAUUCAUUUGGAGGGGCCACAGCUAUUCUGGCUUUGGCCAAGGAAACCCAGUUUCGGUGUGCUGUGGCUCUGGAUGCUUGGAUGUUUCCACUGGAACGUGACUUUUACUCCAAGGCCCGAGGCCCUGUAUUCUUCAUCAAUACUGAAAAAUUCCAGACAGUGGAGAGUAUCAAUUUGAUGAAGAAGAUAUGCACCCAGCAUGAACAAUCUAAGAUCAUAACUGUCCUUGGGUCUGUUCAUCGGAGUCAAACUGACUUUGCCUUUGUGACUGGCAAUUUGAUUGGUAAAUUCUUCUCUCAGACUCGUGGGAGCUUGGACCCCUAUGAAGGUCAGGAGAUCGUGGUGCGGGCCAUGCUGGCCUUCCUGCAGAAGCACCUCGACCUGAAGGAGGACUAUAAUCAAUGGAACGACCUCAUUGAAGGCAUUGGACCAUCACUCACCCCCGGGGCCCCACACCAUCUGUCCAGCCUGUAGGCACAAGUGGCAAUUUUCAAAAGGUCACUUGAGCUGAGUUUCCAUUUGAGGGCUGCCCAGGAGUACCCCUAAUCUUCCAUCAGGAAAUGGUUAACAUGACCCUUCACAGAGAGAGGAUAUAAUCACACUGCUGACUGGGUAACUGGGGACUUUGAUCUCGGACUUGUUGAUUUUCAGCUCAUGCCAGGACUUGAAUCACUUGCUGAUUGGCAGACUGACUUUCUGGGGCCUGAGCCCUGAUGGUGUGGGGAACAAGCAGUAGGGCAGGGCUCAAAUUGAGCACUGUGAGGCCAGAAUGUACAGACUUAGCCAGGGGGCCUACUCCCUCACCUUGGGCCAGUGUGACUUCUGCAGUGGUAGAGAAGACGCCAAAGCUUGGAGUUGAAAUCUUCUCCUUCAGGAACUGUCGCGCAACCUGGCACUAUCUCUUCCUACCUCUCAACCUUCUCCUUACCCAAGGCCACGUGUCCAAGUGGGGAGCCUCAGAGGAAGCAAGAGCAAAGGGCAAAUGUGUUUCUAUACAGUAAGCCCAAGGUGAGUGCUACCAAAGCAUGCUGGAACCAGGCCUCCCCCCUCUCACCAGCUCUUCUAAGAGACGAAAACAGCAGAUCCAUUGAGGCUGUGACCUUUGGAAGGAUGUAUGGGUUCCAGUGCGAUGUAGCAGAAGGAAGGCAUCAUUAAAGCCCUGGGCUCUGGAGUUAUAUGGCCUUGUCCUGAGUUCUGGCUCCACACUACUCACUGGGUAAAUCUGAGGAAAUCGUAUGCUGUUUCUAAUCUCUAAAGUAGGACCUGCAUUAUGAAUAGUUACAAGAGCUAAAUGAGAACUUUUUUUUUUUUUUAUAACCCAUGGGUUAAUUAAAAGUGUCUUUCUUACUUGACGAACACAGGAUUUGUCUGUUUAGAGUUACCGUUUUCUAGUUUAAUUCCUUUGUGGUCUGAGAAGAUGACGCAUAUAGUUUCCACCCACCAAGGUUUGUGGAAACUUGCUUGUUGGCCCAGUGCGAGGUCAGUUUUAUAAAUGACCCACGUAUGCUUAAAAAGACUGUAUGUUUUGAAGUUGUUGGCUUGCUGUUUUACUCCACAACAUACCAUGAGAGCACACACAGUAUAGAACGGGGCAUUCCACCUCCCAAAUGGGAACCAGAGCUCCUCAGCACCUGCAGAGCCAGCUGCAGGCCAACCCUGAGUAGGUGCCACACCUUGUGCAUGGAGCCGGCUAUACAAGUGCUGAGGGGCUAGCUCCGGCAGUAAUAGCACGAGACCCAGCUUCCACCACAGACUCAUAAAUAAUUCGGAUACAUGUUGUAAAGCCCUGAGCAGAGGACCUGGAACCUCCCUAGAGAAUGACGUUCACAAACUGGAUUCAUCACCUCUGCUCAGCUCAUAUUCUGGUAAGGACUUAUCCGGCAACAUUGGAGUAGGUGGAUUUUCCAUGUAACUGAAAAUUAUCCCCUAAGCCCCAAAACAUAAUAUUGACUAUAUUGAAUGGUAAUCUACCAAAAAGAAAAAAAAUAACACACAUACUUCCUGAUAAAAGUGAACAACUUCCUGAUCAAAGUGAACUUAACUUUGUAGGAUGUUUCCAUCAAGAUAGCUAGACAACAAAACUCAUUUCUUGCCCAUGCUGUUUGUCCACUGUGGGUUGGCUGGAGGCUCUAUUCUGCAUCGUUAUCCUCCUCAUUCAUCCUCCCACUUCUGGGAUUUGUUGGGUUCGGGCUGGUUGGGUUCUUACUGUGCCCCCAACACAGACCCUAGCUCCUUUCCAGUGUGCGUCCUGACACAGCUGCCCCUCUUGCCCCUUCCCCACAAAGACUCUGGGCUUUUGAAAUGUCAAAUGAUAGGCCCCAACUCCUUGUCUUGGCUUUGUGGGAACCUUAAUCUGGCCCUCUUUUUCGUCUCCUGGAGCACCACUUACCCCUCUGGCUGCGAAGGGGCAGGAGAGGCCACAUCUAUACCCAGGACCUAGCCUCAUGAGGAAACUCUCCCCCAUCACAACCUGAUGCAGAGGCUGAGUGUCCCUGGCCAUAGCUAUGUGCUCAAAUGCCAAUGCCAAUAAUAAAAUAAUAAGAGCUGACAUUUACUGGGCCUUUAGUGUUGUCAGGGACUGUGCUAAGUGCUUUACAUGCAUUAUCUCAUUUACUUCUCACAGUAACCCUGUGGGGUCAGGUGGUAUUAGUCUCAUUUAUGUGAGGAAAUAGGCUUAGAGAAGUGCCUUGAUCAAGCUCUCACAGCAAGAAUGUGGCAAAGCUGGGACCUGGGCAUCAAAAUCUGAGCUUAGAAUUCCUGGGCUGUACUGCCAACUUUUUUUUUUUUUUUUUUACUGCCUAGCAUACACACUUGGUUUUGCACUUUCCCCUGUGUCUUCAAAUGGGCAGAAUAUAGAAAAUAUAAUUUUAUAAUAGAUCGAAUCCAGGAUAUCAGAUUUUCCAGCAAUUUCUACAUGACCUGUAUUGAAAUUCAGUGCUGUCUCCAGCGCUAUUAAGAAAUGAGUUGGGGAAGAGAACUGAGCUUCACUGGGCACUGUGGGCUAGGUGAUCUGUUGAUUUGACAGGUUGGGGAAAUGCGGGGAUUAAGAACAUGGUCUUUAAAAUCAGACAGCCCCCGCACUUUUAGCACUGUGACAUUAUGUUAAUUUAUUAACUUCUCUCAGCUUCAGUUUUCUCAUCCAUAAAAUGGAAUUCUAAUAGCAUUUACCCCAUUAGGGUGAUUGUGAUAAUUAAAUGAAAUAACCCAGGUAAAGGGCUUAGCAGUGUCUGGACAUAAAAAAAAA